AGUCUACAGGUGAGAAAGAAAGAGGCCUCCGUUUGUGCUGACCUUGGAGUCCAGGUCAUCCUUCCACUUCAGCACGGCGUCGAACGUGGAGGCCCUCGUCACGUCGAACACCACCAUAGCUCCCACCGCCUCCCGGUCUCCGAUGACCAGGACUUUAAACAGAAGCUCCUGCUGCAUGGCUGCAGAAGUAUAGUAACUUUAUGAAGGAUGCUGCUGCACAGCCUUUGAAUGCAGCAU